rnacentral:ncRNA from 1 species
GCACCGCAACGGCUUCCUGACGCGGUGCUUUUUUUAUACUGGAGCA